rnacentral:rRNA from 1 species
CCGUUUCGAGAAAGCGGAGACUGCUGUUUUGAAACCUUUCGAGGUGGAGAUUCUUUGGUGGAAACCGCUUUAAUCGCAGUGGCUUGAACCGGGCAAAAGUCGUAACAAGGUUUCCGUAGGUGAACCUGCGGAAGGAUCAUUA